GAGGAGCAGCAAGCUGUGGCUUCCUGGUUUUGCUAAUCACUGGGGAGCUCCAUUGUCCCCAGACUGGCUUCCAGAUGCUCCCACUAUUUGAAUACCAGCUCCCCGUGAAAAGGAAGGAAAGAUGGAGUCAGAUUAGCCGGGACUGUGGAUGGUGAUGGACCUCAACCGGAGUCGUUCUGUGCAACUGAAUGAUGGGCACGUCAUGCCGAUGCUUGGGUUUGGCACUCCUGCUUCUGAUGAUAUAGGUUCCUAAGAACAAGGCUGGUGAGGCCACCAAAGUGGCUAUUGAUGUAGGUUUCCUUCUGUUUGAUGCCGCAUAUGUCUAUCAAAAUGAGGAGGAAGUUGGUAAGGCCAUCAGAGAAGAUUGCUGAUGGGACCGUGACG